rnacentral:rRNA from 1 species
UGGGGAAUAUUGGACAAUGGGGGCAACCCUGAUCCAGCGAUGCCGCGUGUGUGAAGAAGGCCUGCGGGUUGUAAAGCACUUUAGUUGGGGAGGAAAGAUUUAGCUUUAAUAGAGUUAAGUUGUGACGUUACCCAAAGAAUAAGCACCGGCAAACUCUGUGCCAGCAGCCGCGGUAAUACAGAGGGUGCAAGCGUUAAUCGGACUUACUGGGCGUAAAGGGCGCGUAGGCGGAAGGAUAAGUUAGUUGUGAAAGGCCUGGGCUUAACCUAGGAAUUGCAAUUAAAACUGUCCAUCUAGAGUUGAGUAGAGGGGAGCGGAAUUUCCGGUGUAGCGGUGAAAUGCGUAGAUAUCGGAAGGAACACCUGUUGCGAAGGCGGCUCUCUGGACUCAAACUGACGCUGAGGCGCGAAAGCGUGGGUAGCGAACAG